rnacentral:rRNA from 1 species
GCCAGACAAGCUGAGAGGAGGUGCAUGGCCGUCGCCAGUUCGUGCCGUGAGGUGUUCUCUUAAGUGAGAUAACGAACGAGACCCGUGCCCCAUGUUGCCAUCAGACCUAAAGGGUUGCUGGGCACUCUUGGGGGACCGAAGCCGAUAAGGCUUAGGAAGGUGCGGGCAACGGCAGGUCAGUAUGCCCCGAAUGUCCCGGGCCACACGCGGGCUGCAAUGGUAUGGACAGAGGGCUGCCACCCCGAGAGGGGGAGCCAACCCCUAAACCAUACCUCAGUUGGGAUUGAGGGCUGUAACCCGCCCUCAUGAACAUGGAAUGCCUAGUAACCGCGCGUCAUCAUCGCGCGGUGAAUACGUCCCUGCUCCUU